UACGUAGGUGGCAAGCGUUGUCCGGAAUUAUUGGGCGUAAAGCGCGCGCAGGCGGUCCUUUAAGUCUGAUGUGAAAGCCCACGGCUCAACCGUGGAGGGUCAUUGGAAACUGGGGGACUUGAGUACAGAAGAGGAAAGCGGAAUUCCACGUGUAGCGGUGAAAUGCGUAGAUAUCGAGAGGAACACCUGCGGCGAAGGCGGGUAGCUGGGCCGACACUGACGCUGAGGCGCGAAAGCCAGGGGAGCGAACGGG
rnacentral:rRNA from 1 species